UCCCAUCUCUCUUUUCAUGAAACUUUAGCCUCCCCACUCUAUAAAUAGAACCCCAAAGCCUCCAUCUUCUUCAAUCAAUCCAACCCUAAGUUCUUUUCAAGCUUCUCUCUUCCUCUUCAUUUUCUCCAUAAGUCUAGAAGAAGUACUAACCCUAGCACGACAUCAUAUUCCUCCAUAGAUCUCUUUUUUAUAUCCCAUCAAAUCUAAGAGAGGUCCUAAUCCUAGUAUCGCUAUCCUUUCUCUUCUACAUACCCGUUUCCAUCAACUUUUCUUCCUUGGAGUUCCUAGACUAAGCCUUCCAGCCAUCCUGCCGCUAUCUACAUGGAAGAAGACGAAGGAUUCAAGAAGACACAUCCACUAUCGGACGCAGUAAGAAGAUCAACUUAGUUUAGUUAUCUUGUAUCGCAAUUUUAUUAUUUUUCUUUAUAUAUGCUUCUUUAUUUGAUUAAUGAAAAAUAAUUUUAUUAUAAUUUUUAUAUUUUUUAAUUUUUAUAAUCUAUUAUUCUUUUUUUUGUAUUUUUGAAACAAUUAACUAAGAUUCCUGCGGAUAUGA
rnacentral:lncRNA from 1 species